GCGAGAGUGCAAGUGAGACUUCGUUACCUCGGGCGGUAAAGGGCCUACAAAAGAUGUUUACUUAUUCAAGUCAUUAGCUUUGACCAAAGAAAAUACAGUUCAACUUGACUCGAGAACAAUUUUUUCUGUUGACUUUUAUUUGACUUAAUAUACUAACUUAUUUAUCCAGACGUUUCGUUACUUUUGCGCCUGAACAACAUGCCCAAUUCGCGAACGAAUGUUUUGAAUGAAUCAUUUGAGUCGAUUCUUUUCUAUUUACCUGUGACACGGGUCUGCAAAGCGGUCUGAACAAUUAGUUUUGUGAAUCGUGAAUCUGAAUCAAAUCACAAGAGAAGCACUCCGGAACACGUAAUGGGAUGAAGAGACUGCUCAUACGUUUCGACAAGCUCGCAGCUCGGACCGGGUCAACGGCACGUCCUGUUAAAGCACUCAGUGUACCCUGUUCUCCAUCCAGCUGUGCUGUAAUGCACUUCUGAGCUGGUGGGAUCGGACCGAAGCUCUGCUCAAUAGCAGCAGGAUUUGGGGGAUUGUACAAGGAUCUCGGCAAGGAGUGAAAUCCGUGGUUCUUUGAGACAGCUCAGAGGAAUGGAUCCAGGCAAAGGCAAAUCGGACAUCAGAGUGUGUCUUCAACAUAUUCACCUCCUAACCGGCACGUACAGAAUGGAUGCUUCACAAGGACAACCGGAUUAGAAGGGUUGGGAGGAAGCUGUUGCAUUUGAUGUGCAGUAAAUCUCACAUCUCCCAAAUUGUGAUAUUUCAAGCAAGGCCUCGGUUUGAAGACGAGAGGACGGAUAAACAAAAGCAUUAAAUGUCUGCUUGCUGAGAACCUCAUCAAGGCUUCCUAUUCCAUUUGUCACAUCUGCUUUGUUUUCUGAAGGGGAGUCUAAAUAAAUCUUUCUCAGACUUUUCUGUCCAGCUGUUUCAUAUUUGUUUGAUGUAGAUGUCACCCUUUUAUAAAGAGAAAAUACAUUUAACAGCUCAAUAAUGCUGAAAGAAAAAAAAACUUCCCAGAAGUCCCUGUGUGACCUAUCACAUAUGUUAAUGUUUUAUUUAAAUAGUAUUGUUUCUUAUUAUUUUUGCUAUUAAUAAUGUACAUUAGGGUGUUUGGUUACAUUUUAUAUUACAGUAAAUUAAAUAUGUAAUUAACAUUACACCACUCAAUGAAAUCUGCGUUUGCAAGUUGCCAUCAUGUAAUACCUGAAACAUUGUCAAUGUAUAUUUUACUGUGAAUUUCUGGCAAACACACACAAAAUAAUAAUAAAAAUAAAAAUAAAAAUAAAUAAAUAAAUAAAUUACACCAUGAAUUUAACAGAAUAUUUUUACAUCAUCUUAAUGCAUACAAGUGUUCUUUGUUACGGGGGAUUUACACGACACCAUUUUCAACUGAAAAUUGAGAACUUUUAGUGUAUUUUGGUCGGUUUUAAAAACCUUUGAAAACACUUUUCGAAAAGUUUUUUAAAACAAUACCACUAUUGUCUCUAAAUGUAAAAAAGGGAAAAAGAAAAAAUGCAUGUUCCAUGUUCAGUCU